rnacentral:tRNA from 2 species
CAAAGUAGAGCUUGGAUAGUGAGCAUUCCAUUUACGUUGGAGAGGUUUUGUGCAAAUCAGAUAUUUUGA